rnacentral:rRNA from 1 species
AUUCUUUAAGGAUUUAAUUUAAAGUAAAACCUGGUCAAUGACAAAUAAAUAGCCGCAGAUUCACUGUGCUAAGGUAGCAUAAUAACUUGCUUCUUAAUUAGAAGAUAGAAUGAAAGGUUUCACACUAAAAUACUUGUUUCUCUUAAAAAAAUUAAAUUAAGAAUGAAGUCAAAACUCUUCUUUUCUAAAGCGGGACGACAAGACCCUGACAAACUUAUCAUUUAGUUGGGGAAACAAAUUAAAAACUCUUAAAUUUUAUAAUAUCCAAAACUUAAACAUUAAAUCAUGACUAGUUACUGCAGGGAUAACAGCGUUAUUUCUUUUAAGAGAUCUUAUUUAAAAAGAAGAUUACGACCUCGAUGUUGAAUUAAUCCUCCUAUUCGACGCAACAGUUCAUUAAAGGUAGUCUGUUCGACUAUUAAAAAAUU